AUGUUACACAUUAAAAACUGGCAGCAGUAUAACUAAAAGCAACAUCAUUUGGAGGAUCCUUCAGUAGUGAGUCCCUGGAAAUUCUGGACUGCAUUGGGCUGGAGGAGGAUGUGAGGAGUUGUUUAAGAAGUUGCUUCGUUCCACUGCAGAGUUGGGGUAUGGAGCAGAAAUGGCUAAUGACAACACCACUGCUGCUUGGUGUCCUUGCCACCACGGCUUGUGUUGCUCUUCCUCGCUGCUUGACACCACCCGCUUCAGCACCAGCAUGGCCAUCUUCAGCCUCCUCCUCAAGCCUUUGUCCUGCUUCUUUGUCUAUCAGAUGUGCCGGGAGUGUGGAGGAGAGUGUGCCUUGAACCUAGACUGGGAAGGUUCAUCGGAGAGACAUGUUUCCCGGGAUGGUGUUGACUCUGCUGCUGUUUCCCUUGUCUGCCACUGCUGGGCCGGCUUCCUCCCUCUGUUUCUUCUAGAGGGGCUUUUCUCGCUUUGUGUGUGUCUCUGCCAGUUUGGAGAUGGGCAUUUGCCUCCCAUCUUUUAUCCUGGGCCCUUUUUAGAAGGCCAAGAAGAGAGAGGAGUGAAGUUUUGCUUUGUGAUUUGUUAAUGUAUUUUAUUGGAUGUUGUAACUGCUGUUUUUUGUAAAUUGUAUUGUUUUUAUUGAUGUAUUUUUAUAUUUGUGUUAAUUUUUUUUUGUAAGCCGCCUUGAGGGCCUUUUGGCCAAAAGGCGGGGUAGAAAUAAACAAUAAUAAUAAUAAUAAUUAAUCAUUUGAUAUGCAUAUUGGAUGGUUUGAAAACCAGGAUUCUGUUCGGGGUGUAAAGUUUUAGCACUAAGGUUACUAUUGCUGAUAAAAAUUAAAGUAUGUAAGAUGAAUGACACAAUGAUGGGCAAGCCAAAUUUUCUUUGGGAAAGUUAAUUUUAACCUGAUUCAAUUGCAUCUCUCUUUUUGAUGUGGUCAUUGGGACUUAAUGAAUAACCAAAUGAUAUUUCUACUGAUAUAUCAUGCUACAGGAAACAUUUCUCACAUUAUGUUGAGCAAGCCAAGACAUUUAGGCAGAUGCUAGGCUGUUACUCCCCUAUUAGGAUAGAGUGCAAGAUGACAUGCAUUUCUUGGGGACAGAAAUGCAAACCUACAAUGUCAGGCUUGCUGACAGAGCAAUCCUAAACAUGUUUACUCAGAAGGGAGAUUGUCAUUGGUACUGAGUGACUCUUCAGUAAGUGUGUGCUUAGGAUGGCAGCCCAAGAAGUAUUAUAAAUCUUGCUAAGACCACAUCCCUCUGGUGUUGAACAUACCUGUGGGCACGGAUGGGGAUAUUGCUCUGUGCACUGGCUCUUCUCUCAAGCGGAUGCACUUGGCUCAGUCUCAAGAAGGCCACCAUGGUGCAAGGCACAGGUGGGGCACAUGCACUGCCUACAGAAGAUCCUAGAUUCAAACUCUGCCAUCUCCAGGUAGGGCUGGGAAACACCUCUGUUGUCAUGGGCCCCAUGGAGAACUCAUGGCAAAGCAAGGAGGAGGAGGAAGACUGGGAUCCUGGGGAGGGAUCUAGCAGCCUGCAGAGAAAGGGAGCUGAGACUUGAGGACUUGAGUAGUCUGGUCAGUGACAGUCCCAUUGAUGAGGAGGUAGAGCCGGAUGUGGAGCCAUUCCUCACCUGCCUCUUGACCCUGCCUGCUCACCUGAGAUGCCUCCAUUAUAGCUUCCAGGGGAUAGGGAGUUGGAGGCACAGCCACUGGAGGUGGCUGAAGCUAACUUGUCUGAACUGUCUCCGCUCCUGUUGCCAAGGCCAUGCCAGAGAAUGUGCAGGCACAAACAGACUGAGCCAUCUCCCCAGCCCCUGAGGAGUGUACGUUUGCUUGGGAGACAGUUCCUGCAUAAGUAGAGAGCUCAUCCUGAGUCUACUUAAGUGGGUUCAGGAGGCAUGUUGAGUUGCUGCGACAACGUAUUUGUUUGAGUAGCUUUACCUAGCCAUGCCUUGUGUAAGCUCAUCUAUGAACACUCCAAGUUUAGACUUAGCAUUAAACAUAACAGAGAAAAACACACCAUGAGUCCGAGUCUGAAUUUAACAGGACUGGCCAGGACCACUGUCUGAAAGCAUGAAAAGUCGCUGCCAGUCAAGUAUAGUCAAUACCGAACUAGAAGGAUCAAUGGGCUUCCUUCAUAUAAGGCUACUUCCUAUGUACCUCCUAUGUAUUAUUUGUACGGUAUUUCUUUCAGUGGGAGUUAAAAAAAAAAUCUAACAGAGCCAUAAACUAUGCCUCUUUUUGGUCACUGCCAAAAUGGCUACGAUAAAUGAAUUUUUGGAUUGAUUCCCCUUUUCUGCUUGUGUAUGUCUAAGUGCUGAACUGCCUCAAUAAAUUUAUGCCUGCUUUUAUAUGCAGAAUGAUGUCUGAACAUAGCUGCUCACCUUAACAAAGUGUUAUGUUGCACAGUGUAAUGUUCCUCCCCUGACACCACCUGUCAGGC